GACGAACGCUGGCGGCGUGCCUAAUACAUGCAAGUAGAACGCUGAAGAGAGGAGCUUGCUCUUCUUGGAUGAGUUGCGAACGGGUGAGUAACGCGUAGGUAACCUACCUGGUAGCGGGGGAUAACUAUUGGAAACGAUAGCUAAUACCGCAUAAAAUUGAUUAUUGCAUGAUAAUUAAUUGAAAGAUGCAAUUGCAUCACUACCAGAUGGACCUGCGUUGUAUUAGCUAGUUGGUGAGGUAACGGCUCACCAAGGCGACGAUACAUAGCCGACCUGAGAGGGUGAUCGGCCACACUGGGACUGAGACACGGCCCAGACUCCUACGGGAGGCAGCAGUAGGGAAUCUUCGGCAAUGGGGGGAACCCUGACCGAGCAACGCCGCGUGAGUGAAGAAGGUUUUCGGAUCGUAAAGCUCUGUUGUAAGAGAAGAACGGGCGUGAGAGUGGAAAGUUCACACUGUGACGGUAUCUACCA
rnacentral:rRNA from 1 species